rnacentral:rRNA from 1 species
AGUGAAAGAGAACCUGAAACCCUAUGUUUACAAGCAGAUAAAGCGAAUUAAGGCGCGAUAUCGUACUUUUUGUAGAACGGUCCAGCGAGUUAUUGUAUAUGGCGAGGUUAAGUUGUAAGUAAGCAACGAAGCCGGAGUGAAAGCGAGUCUGAAGAGGGCGUAAAAGUCAUAUGUAAUAGACCCGAAACCGGGUGACCUAUCCAUGGUCAGGAUGAAGCUAAAGUAAAAUUUAGUGGAGGUCCGAACUGAUUGUCGUUAAAAAGGCACCGGAUGAACUGUGGAUAGCGGAGAAAUUCCAAUCGAACUCGGAGAUAGCUGGUUCUCCUCGAAAUAGCUUUAGGGCUAGCCUUGAGGGAAGAUAUGUGGGGGUAGAGCACUGAAUGAGGUAGGGGCCUAACCAGGUUACUGAACUCUAUCAAACUGCGAAUACCAUGUAUUAAUACUCAGGAGUCAGACUACGGGAGCUAAGUUCCGUGGUCAAAAGGGAAAGAGCCCAGACCGACAAUUAAGGUCCCAAAGAUAUAGUUAAGUGGGAAACGAUGUGAAUUUGCGUAAACAACCAGGAUGUUGGCUCAGAAGCAGCCAUUCAUUCAAAGAGUGCGUAACAGCUCACUGGUCGAGUGAAUUUGCGCGGAAAAUUACCGGGGCUAAACUAUACACCGAAAUUACGGAUUUGUAAAUGAAAAUUUAUAAGUGGUAGAGGAGCAUUCUGUGGUAGGGCGAAGCUAAAGCGAGAGCAUUAGUGGACGAAGCAGAAGAGAGAAUGCUGGAAUAAGUAGCGAGAGCGAGGUGAGAAUCCUUGCCGUCGAAAGUCUAAGGUUUCCUGGGGAAGGUUCGUCCGCCCAGGGUAAGUCGGGACCUAAGGAGAGGCCGAAAGGCGUAUCUGAUGGAUAGCAGGUGGAAAUUCCUGCACUAUAGCCAUACUUAAAAGAUGCAAGGGACGCAGGAGAGGAAGAUAACCGAGGAAGAGGAAAAACUCGGAUCGAAAGAUGGAGUGAAAAUAGAAGUAACGAAGUAUCAAGAAUCACACUGACGAGAAAAGCUUGUAGAGAUUGUAUGGAAAUACCCGUACCGCAAACCGACACAGGUAGAUGAGGAGAGGAUCCUAAGACGAACGGGAGAAGCAUUGUUAAGGAACUCGGCAAAAUAACCCCGUAACUUCGGGAGAAGGGGAGCCUAUGUAAAAGUAGGCCGCAGUGAAAAGGCCCAAGCAACUGUUUAACAAAAACACAGGUUUCUGCUAAAUCGAAAGAUGAAGUAUAGGAGCUGACGCCUGCCCAGUGCUGGAAGGUUAAGGGGAAAUGUUAGGAGCAAUCCGAAGCAUAGAACUGAAGCCCCAGUGAACGGCGGCCGUAACUAUAACGGUCCUAAGGUAGCGAAAUUCCUUGUCAGGUAAGUUCUGACCCGCACGAAAGGCGUAAUGAUUUGGGCACUGUCUCGACAAUGUACCCGGCGAAAUUGUAGUACUAGUGAAGAUGCUAGUUACCUGCGACAAGACAGAAAGACCCCAUGGAGCUUUACUGCAGUUUGAUACUGGGUUUUGAUAAACUAUGUACAGGAUAGGUGGGAGACUAAGAAAGCAAGGCGUCAGCUUUGCUGGAGUCACCGUUGGGAUACCACUCUUAGUUUGUUGAAAUUCUAACUAGUGGUCAUGACCUGGCCAGAGGACAAUGUCAGACGGGCAGUUUGACUGGGGCGGUCGCCUCCAAAAGAGUAACGGAGGCGCCCAAAGGUUUCCUCAGCGCGGACAGAAAUCGCGCGAAAGAGUGUAAAGGCAGAAGGAAGCUUAACUGGAAGACAGACAUGUCGAGCAGAUACGAAAGUAGGGCUUAGUGAUCCGGUGGAAUUGAAUGGAAAAGCCAUCGCUCAACGGACAAAAGUUACCCUGGGGAUAACAGGCUUAUCUCCCCCAAGAGUUCACAUCGA